CAAUGAUAUUCGUGUAAGUGUUCAAAAUGAAGGAAAUGAAGAACAUAAUCGAACAAAGAUCGCUUGGUCAGUGCUAGGUUUCUUGCAAGGUCUGAACACAAAUCUCCUUGAAAUUUUGGGAAUCAAACGCCUACGAGAAAUGAAAUUGGCCCAUAUUGAAGCCCUUGAACUCCUAGAUAAUAUGUGUGAAGUGACAAAAC